UGACAGCACUGAAAGCCAUUUCCCCUG
rnacentral:piRNA from 1 species